rnacentral:rRNA from 1 species
AUACGUAGGUGGCAAGCGUUGUCCGGAUUUACUGGGUGUAAAGGGCGUGUAGGCGGAGAUGCACGUCAGGAGUGAAAUCUAGGGGCUCAACCCCUAAACUGCUUUUGAAACUGUAUCCCUUGAGUAUCGGAGAGGCAGGCGGAAUUCCUAGUGUAGCGGGUAAAUGCGUAGAGAUUAGGAGGAACCCCAGGGGCGAAUGCGGCCUGACGGCCGACAACGGACGCCGAGGCGCGGAAGCGUGGGGAGAAAACAGGAGUAGAGACCCUGGUAGUCCACGCUGUAAACGAUGAAUCAUAGGUGUGGGGGGACUGACCCCCUCCGUGCCGCAGUUAACACAAUAAGUAGUCACCCUGGGGAGUACGAUCUCAAGAUUGAAACUCAAAGGAAUUGACGGGG